rnacentral:rRNA from 1 species
GGAAUCUUCCACAAUGGACGCAAGUCUGAUGGAGCAACGCCGCGUGAGUGAAGAAGGGUUUCGGCUCGUAAAGCUCUGUUGUUAAAGAAGAACGUGGGUAAGAGUAACUGUUUACCCAGUGACGGUAUUUAACCAGAAAGCCACGGCUAACUACGCGCCAG